UUUUAGAGAGGCUUGGAGGAGCAACGAGAGUGAGGUGGGUUUUUUGGGAAAGAGAGCGAAGGAUGUUUUGGAGAGGGGAAGGAGUACAGAAGAAAACGAGCAGAGUGUAGAGGAGUAUUCGAGGGGACUGUCUCAGGUAGCAGAGACUGUUGGUUUGAGAUUGUGAGAGAUGGUGAGCUGAGCUUAGACAAAGAGAGCUGAGAAAAAGCUGUGAAAUAGAGGAAAAACUAAGAAGAAAGGUAGGGAGCUGUAGAGGGAGGUGGGCUGGGUGAAAUACGUUUGAGGAGAGGAAUACUAAGUAAGAGGGAGUUAGAGCAAAGGAGAAGAAGCUGAGAGAGAUCUUGCUGAUUCGUGGGAAGGAAAGUAGAGCUUGAAGCCAAGCAACUCUUUGCUUGAGGAAAGCUUUCCAGGUAUGCCUACUCUGAGCUUCUUGUCUCUCAUUUUCACGCUAUUUUUCUCUUAUUUUCUGCUGUUUUUCUGGACUUCUUCUUAUUGAUUGGUGUAGACAUGAAGAGUUAUUUGAUUGUUUUUGGCUGAAUUUGAUCCUUUGUAUACAUGCUCUGUUUUGGGUUUUCUUUGCUUUCCCCUGUACAAGACUAAUGCAUGGAUUUAUUUCUGAACUUGAUAUCAUGGCUCUUGUUCCCCGAUAAUUCCACCUGUUUUUAACCCAUGGAUGCUACCUGAAAUGAGGCUCUAUACGUUCAUGUUUUGCUUGAUUUCUUAUUUGCUCUUCCCUCAGUAUUUACUCUGGCUCCUAUCCUCGCUUUUUAUUCCUCUGUUUCUGGUAAGUUGGGGUGCUGGGCAUCUAAGCUUGGGUUGUCCAUCUUGAUUGGGAUUUUUUCUGGGAGAGCCUCUUGAGGGCAAAUUCUAUACAAAUGGGUAUUUCUGGAUACCUGUGAGCCAUGUGGUCCACAUUGAAAUGCCUAAGGAUGCAAUGGAGGGAUACAGAUGAGGAUAAGUAAAUCUCUACUUGAUGCUCUGGACACGGGUAAGGCAAUCAUGUAGAAUGGGGUACUGUCGUCUAUGAAUCUUUCACUGUGGGCAUGGGUGGAAUUCCUCAUGCACUAGGGUUACAGUGCUUGCAAGUUUGUGAUAGCAAGGUGGAUAAGGGUGUUUGCAGUUAUGCAGGGAAGUUGGAUGAGGAUCUAUCAUGCAUUCAUUCUUGUUAGAGAACUCUUGAAAGAUGGGAAUUGGAAAAAUGGAAAGUUUCAUGGGGAGUGGAUUUUUGUGUCUUGGAAGAUUAUGAUAGAUAGGUAUUUCAGAAAUGGAUGUAUCAAGGAGGCAUUAACAGUUUUUGGUUUAAUGGUGAAAAUGAUGAUAGUGAUUAUUGAAAAUCUGGGGUUCUUACCCCAAGGAACCCCAGAGAAGACAAAGACCCUACUUCUGCAGAGCUUGAGCAUAAUUUUCUUGACACCAACCUUAAUCCAGCAGUUUAGAAGCGGGUUCUCCAAAUAACAACUUAGGUUUGAGCUGAAUCAAUUGAAAGAGGAAUCAAUUAUGGUUGAAUGGUGGGGAUUAUAAUUUAAAAGAAGACCUCUCAGAAACACAAGCAUGCUUACCCAAAGUUUUAUUUAGUUCCAAUGGUGAAGAUCUCAUUCUGAAGGCUAACACUCAGCUUACGAGUGAGCCACAUAUGUCGCAUGACAAUCAGAGCACAGGGUUUUCAAAUUCCAAUGCAUUCUUUCGGGUUCGGGACGGAUAAUGGGCUUUCAGAAAUUACAAGGAAAAGACAAUAUUUUAUGGACGCUCUGCCUGUUUUGCUUGGCCUAGAUCCCUCUAUUUUCGUAUUGCCGAGGGGUCUUCCUCACACACCCAUCCGAAUGGUUUUCCAAUUGCCAAUCUUUAACCAUAGUAGGUUCAAAACCUUGCAUGCAUUCACCAAGAGGUUCCGGGUCUCCAUAUCCAUGGCCAAGAGCUCCAUGUGCAGGCCCUGUCAGUAGUGAAGUUCUGAUGAUUAUGAGUCAAGUAACCCUUGCUUAGAAUCAGUCACAUGGAAGUCAUACUCUCAUGAGUGCACAUCAACAAACAAGCAUGAUCACAACUGAUUGAAGGGAGAAUCAAUCGAAAUUUUUGUCUUAACAGAUGCUUAGUUUUUGAGGAAAGGCUAAAGGUGUCAAAAGAUGAACUAUUGAUUUCUGGAAGAAAGGGUCAUUCCGGUGGUGAUAGUGAAUCCCCUGAUAGCCAGAUGGAUGUGCAACAUACAGAAAUAGAUGGCAGGAGAAAUUAAUGGCUUUUGACAAUUCCAUGAGGGUCUUUCUUUGAUACAAUGGAAUUAACCUGGCUAUGCAUAGUGAAGAAGAAAGGCUCAACUGAUUCAAAUAGACUUAUAACAAAUAGACUAAUUAGAGUAUUAUUUUUUGAAGCUUUAUCACACAGCUUUCUAUAUAACAAAAAAGGAAGUAUUUUGAAAACUUGCUACAAAGCCUCCAUCCUCAUAAUUCGAUUCGGAAGGUUUAUUGAAUUAAACUCUCCCUAAAGCGUUUCGAGUGUGCCCACAAUUUCUGACGAUCAGGAAGAUUUUCUUUGAUCACUGGAACCUGCUUAAAAUUCUGAAUCCAUGCUUGCAAUCGAGGGAACGUGGUGGAAUUCAGCAAUUUUGUGCCUACGGCUUCUUCUAUGCCCUCAAACCAGUAAGCCAGCCAACCAAAUGCUAUGUCCACCAGUCCUAUAGCUUCCCCUCCGAAAAACUUCUUAUCCCCAAGGCUUUGCUCUUCUAUGAUUUUCAGUAUUUCCACUGUUUCUUUUAUGGCCUUCUCUUGCUCUUCCCCAGCAGCAGAUUUAAAGAAUUGAAAAAAAGUGGCAUUCUAGAAGAAAUUAAGCAACAAGUAUAUAUAUUUAGAAUGAACUGUUGAAAAACAACAGUAAGGUGAUCUCAAAUAUCAAUAAAAAUUGAAGUUAAUUAUUAAAUUAAUUAAAAGAGGAAAAAAAAAGAUUUAAAAAGCCUACAAAUUCUUUUCAUUUUAAUCAUAGGUAUUAAUCGAAGAUUUCAAUUUAAUUCAUCUUUCCCCUCCUAAUUCCUUACUGCAAGACCUAGACAGGGUUAGAGAAAUUUGAUAGAGUUAAAGAAUGCUUAAAAGUAUCAUGGCUUAUUUUGUCUGAUCACUUAAAUAAAAUUCUACAUAUAGCUUAGGAAUUUAUUAGUGAAUACUUUCACAAAUGACUGAAAACAAGAAAUGGGUUAUGAAAGCUAGAUGGAGAGCUUUCAAAUAUUUCAGGUCUGUAAAAGAUUCGGAAAUUAAAUCAUAGGAAUUGAUAAUGAAAGCAAGAUUAGUGAGUUAAACCUACCUUUGAUUCUCCAAAAUUGAUCCAAAACCGAGCCAUGGCUCUCUCAUAAGCAUCUGUCGGCAGCAGUGGAUUCUCCGGCCAUGUUUCUUCAAUGUAUUCGAGGAUUACAAGGGACUCGGCUACUGCUCUGUCACCAUGAAGAAGCACCGGAACCUUCUUGUGAACUGGAUUGUGGUGUAACAACAACUGGCUCUUGCUACGAAGGUCUUCCUCAAUAUACUCAUAGUUUAUGCCCUUGAGUUUUAGGGUCCAUAUCACCCUGUAAGCAAAAGAGCUUGCCCAAAACCCUAAUAGCUUCACUCCUGCCAUUGUUUUCUAUUAUGCCAGCUCAAUUUGCUUGGGGAUGAGUUUCAAAUCUUUAAACUUGGAGGAAGAUGUGAUCCUUUCUCUUCAACCAAGGAUUUCAGCCUGUGUAAGGAGGAUUAUUCAUUUAAUUAGAUCUGUAAUAAUAUUUAUGUAUGAAGGGGUAUUUUCAAAUUAAGAAUCUUCACAAUGCCCUUAGCUAAGACUAUAUUAAUUGUUAUUAUUUUCUAUUAACAUGAAAAAGAAAAAAGAUAUAUUGACUAGUGACUCUUAAAGGUCAAUGAGUUAGGUAGAUUUUUAUUUCUGCCACUAAUAUAACAUUGCAGGUAGGUCCAUUCCUGGUUAUAAAUAUCCAAUUAGAAGAAGCUCUACCUUUUUCAUGGAAACGACAAAAAGGAAGAUUGAAAAAUCAAAGAAGUAACAUCAAGUGUUUAUAAAGCAUCAAUCAUUUCACUUGGACAAGAUGUUAAUUGCCAGAGUCGGUCAAUAGAAGAUAAGAUCUAGGAUGAAGACCCCGAAUAAGAAAGAAAAGGUGUGAGAAAAUUUAUGUAACAAUUAUUUCGAAUUCUAAAGCAAGUUUAGCAAUGAAAUAACUCCCUUAUAACCAUCAAUAUAUAUAUAUAUCAAUCGGGUGGUACAUUAGGUCAGAGUACUCACCAGCUCACAUCACCCAAGUCAAUGAAAUCCAAUACCUCAAUCUUAGUUCAACUAAAUAUACCUUCAUGAUUGGCUUAAGUAUGGGUAGCAUAUUGUUAUGAACUUUAAUGUAUAUUCCUUUAUUAUCUCCUAAAGGUUAGGAUUAGAUAAUUAUUUUAAUCUCCUCUCAUUUAUUUCCUUCGUAUAUAUGUAACUACUCUUCAAAUGAAUAAGAUGAGCCAUUAUUCCAUACUUUGUUAUAUGGCAUUAGAGCUCUUUCUACUCUUAUUGAGUUUCUUAAUUUGCCAUGGCUAACAUUUCUAUCACUAAUACUUCAAACUCAUCUAAUUUAGAUUUGUUAGCUUUUGUACCCAAUGUUUCAACUUCCAUUAUUAGCUCCUCAACUAGUUUCAUUUCCAUCAAUGUCAAUGCCAAACUUCUUUAAAAUUAACUUUUCAUAAUUAUUCUUCAUGGCAUGUCUAAUUUUAUGCAAUUCUCUUUUGCUAUAACCUUUUCGGAUAUGUAGAUGACUCUCUAUUGUGUCUUCCUAUUUUUGAGGCUUCUUCUCAUUCUUUUAGGCCAUGCCAAGAUCAACUCAUUUUUCAUGCAUUUUUGCCCCACUUUCAAAAUCUAUCAUGCCGCUCAUAAUUGCCUCAACCAAAACUUCAUGAAGCAUAGUUAAAAUUUACCAAACUUUAUGUUGGUCACUCUUAAAGUCACAUCCUUCAAUCCAAAGGAAAAAUUUCCUCAAGCACCCCUAGAGAAAAAAUUUUCUUAGAGUUUUUACAAAUAUUCAAAAGCCUUUGCGAUCAACUCACCCUUUGUCAUUCAACUUUGGAUGAAGAAGAUUUGUUUGUACACUCUCCGAAUGGAAUGGGAAAAAGAAUAAAAGGAAGUUGUUGUUGCCAUUCAAUCUAAAGAAAUUCCCAUUUCAUUGGAAGAACUUUAUCAUCAACUCAUAGAUCAUGAAGAGUUUAUGCAACAAGACUCUCUUAGCUCUGAAUUUGUUCCUAUGUCUACAAACCUAACUUGCUAUCAUAAACAAUCUCAUAUGUACUAGAAACUUCUAUUCUCCUUUGUUUUGCCUUAUUGAAAAACCUAGUUCAUAUCCGAAUUAUCUCACCAAUCAACCAUCAAAAUGAAAGCAAUCCAACCUAAAUCCUAAUGUCUGCCAAUAUUGUGAAAACUGAGUUUAGAUUGCCAAGAAUUGUUUGAAGCUCUUCCCUAAUCAACAUCUUUUCCAUGCCAGUACCAACUAUAGUAUCCCAUACCUCAUGAAUACCUUUCCUUAACUUAUUGAUUCAAGCACUUCGCACCAUGUUAUUAUUGAUUUAAGUAAUUUGGCCUUGCAUUUUGAACGUGAGAGUUAUGAUGAUACAGUCCUUAGUGAUGGUGAAGAUCUCGAUGACACACACUGUUAUGCUAAUUUCUCAAUUCUUUAUUUUACCAAAACCUUCCCUUUACAAAUGAUCUUUGUAUCACAUCAAUGCAAUUGUUUCUAAAUUUUGUUUAUCUCAAAAUUCUUCCAUUGAAAAUUUUUCCUUCAUAUUUUUACGUUAAGUAUCUUCAAAUGAUAGCACUACUAUUGCAAGGGUUAGGAUAAAGAUGGUGUUUACGAAUGCCACAACUUACAUAUGCUCUUAGAAAUUGCAUUCAUGCUCUUGGCACACUCAAGGAACCUUAGGUUUUCCAUUAAUAAUUGGGUCAUCUAUAGAAGCUCUUUAGAAGAUGACAAGAAAAAUUGAAACCCUAACCCCUAAUAGGGGUAUUUAUAGGGCUCCUUAUGAGCUGAAGUGAUUUCAGCUUAAAAUGGGCUUAGGUCCUAAUUAAUUAAUUAACUUUAAUGGGAUCUAAUUAAUUAAUUAGUCCUUACCAGAAAGAUAAUUCAUAAGAUCUAGUGCAACCUUACAUUUUGAUUAAAACACCCUUAUACACACUUAUGAAUCAAAACUCAAAUCCCUUAAAAUAAACGUGUACCUUUAUAAAAUAGAAACUCAAGCGUGGACCAUUGGGACCCAUAGGAAAAUAUUAGUUCCUUUAUAAUUUAAUUCUAAAGUUGAUUCAAUACUCCACUAAAGAUCAUCAAUUGCACUCUAAUAUUAUAAUAGCAUAGCUCAGGUUCAUGCCUUACCAUCCAUAGCAUGCAGACUCCUUAUGACUUGGUGUCUAUAAUCUAACAUGGUAUUGCUAUCAUCUUUAAGAUUACCUCUCCAAUCCUUCUGUUAUAGAUCCCACUUAUUAUGUGAUCAAUUAACAUACUUUAACUCCAAGGAACAUAUGUCAAAUUUCUACUGAAGGAAAUGAUCUGACCAUAGGCUUCUAAAUCACAUGUUCUUUGGAUCACUUAAGAAGAGACACUAUCUCAAUUUAAUGAGAAAUUGUGGUGCCUCUAUUGAGAAUAUCUAUUGCCAUUAGGCUUCAUCAAUAGUAACCCAAUUCAUAGGGACAUAUGGUCACUUUAAGAUCUCACCCAUAAGUCAACGUCUCCUAUUGAUUUUGGCACAGACUUAACACCUUCUCAAGGUUGAGAGUCCAUGUAGUAUAAUAGCUUAGUGAAUUGUGAUAACCGAUAGCCUUAUGUCAUGAUUCACUAUAGGUCAUGUCCAAUGUGCAUCACAUACACUAUUGCACUCACUAUGAGAAAAUCAUCCCAAUGACCAAGAUAAGUCAUUCCUUUAAUUACGAGAUAGUGCAUUACAGUCUCAAAUGAAUUGCCUAAAUCUAUGAACCAACUGUGAAUUACUCAUCACUCUACAAGGUACCCAUGACUUGGAUCUUCAAUGCAGUUCCUAAUGCGCCCAAGUCAUGUGCAAUGCAAGUAAUGUGGGUAUGUAUGUUUAGAUAACCAAUUAAUGCUCAUGUAACUAAAAAACAUAGAUAAAUAAUUUUAUAAAUGAAUCUCAAUUUGUUAGAUCAUUUCAUUUUUUCUAAGGCUUAAUCCUAGCAAUAUAUUCCUUAUGAAUUUGGUCACUAAUGAUGGAGGUUAGUUGUAAUAGAUAUCUUCAAUAAAGACACCAUGAUAUCUCAUGGUAUUGAGACAAUGGGUCUUCUUAAAACUAAAGUUGCAGUAAUUUCUUAAGUGGAAUUUGACAUAUAUUCUUUAUGAGUUAAAGUAUGUUAAUUGAUCACAUAAUAGGGGGAUCUGUAACUCAAGAAUUGAAAAGGUAAUCUUGAGAGGUUGAUAGCACAUAUCUCCUUGAUUACAAAUACCAAUUCACACAGUCUAUGUGCAAUGGGUAGUAGGUUAAAGACCCAAGCUUUAUCUCAUUAUAAUAUCAUUGGAUACUAGAGUGUAGUUAGCUCUCUUUAGUAGAGUGUUUAGUAAUUUCAUAAUUAGAUUAUGAGGGAACCAAUAUUUUCUUAUGGGUCCCAAUGGUUCCUGUUUCAGCUCUUGAUUCAUGUUGGCAUGUUUGAUUGAGAGAAUUAUGGGUUUUUAAUUCCUAAGUGUGCAUAGGGGCAUUUUGAUAAAAAUAUAAGGUUGCACUAGAUCUUAUGAAUGAUCUUUCUAGAUUUGGCUAAUUAAUUAAUUGAAGUCUAAUUGAGUGAAUUAAUUAAUUAGGACUACAAUGGACUAGAUUAAGUGACCUAAGCCUAAUUUGGGGUAAAGUCACUUAAGCCCACAUGGAACCCUAUAUAAAUCCCCUUAAAGGUUUAGGAUUUCAUUUUUUGCAUCCUCGUCUUUCAAACUUUGGAAAAGAAAUACCUUGCCUCCUUUUAGAUAAGUCCAUCGUUAUCUUGUGCCAUAGAUAUGUGAAAUGAGUGAUAAAGUAGAAGAUCUUUAGAUCUACAAGAUCUACGAUGCCAACCUAGAUCUAUCCAUUAAGACUUAAUGAUCCACCACUAAACAUGAUUUAACUAAAAGCGAAUGAUGCAUACCUAACUUUUUCUUUAGGAAUUCAAGGCUCUCCUUUUUCUAGUGGCUUUUCUUUUCAGAAAGGAAACACUUGCCCUUCCCAUUGCUCUUCUUACUCAUUUUCUUAAACUUUUGCUUUUGUUUGAUGUUCUUUGAAUUGUUCUUCUUCUUCUUCUUCUUUUUAGAAGAACCUGAAAAACCCUUGAUUAUCAUAUGACUACCUUCUUAGUCGUUGAGAAUCCCCUCAGUCAUCCGAGUUCCCUUAUAAUUUUAGGUAAGCUCAUCACCAAUUUAUGCAUAGUAUAGUUGAACUUGAACUACCUGAAGGAAUCCAACAAGGUUCGAUCUAAAACUCAAACAUCAUCUUUAUGUUUCUGAGUUUAGAAAGAAUUUGAUUCCAGUUUCUAGUUACGUAAAUCGAAUUGUUCAAUGUUUUUUAAUAAACAAGUUAUUAUUAAAAUGAAUAAUUCAAUUAUAUGCUCAAGACCAUUGAUUAAUAAUCUUUAUCCUAUGACUGCAUUAUCAUUAUUGUUAAGUAAUGAGAAUAAUCAUAUCUCACUUAAAAGAAAGCAACCCAUCACUAAUCAAAAACACUUUUGACACUUAAACUUAGGUUAUACUAAUCUAAAUAGGAUCCAAAGGCUACUUAAAGUCUAGAAUAUUGCACUCUUUCAUUCCAAAGGAUCUUUUAGUCUGAAAAUCCUAUAUGGAAGGUAAAAUAACUAAGAAGCCAUUUACUACUAUAGGAUACAAAGUCAAAGAAUGUUUGGAGUUAAUGUAUAUUGAUAUGUGUGGACUUUUGAAUGUCGAUGCAUGGUGAGGGUAUGAGUACUUCAUCACCUUUACAAAUGAUUACUCUAUAUAUUUACCUAAUGCAUAGAAAAUCCAAUGCCUUAGAUAAAAUUCAUUAGAUUUAAGGUGGAAUAAAAAAACCAAUUAGGUAAACAUAUCAAGGCACUUCAGUCUAAUUGCGACGGUGAGUAUACAUCACCUGGUUCAAUUAUUUCCAUAAGGAGCAUGAGAUUAUAUCUUAAUUGAGUGCAACUAAAACUCCAUAGUAGAAUGGAGUAGUGGAAAUAAGAAAUCAAACUUUGAUGGACAUAGUGAGAUUUGUGAUGAGUUUUUCAUCACUUCUUGUAUCCUUGUGGGGAUAUGCCUUAUUUUCCUAUGGGUACUAGCCCAUUCAAGCUCCUGAUUCAUUGUGGCAUGUUUGUUUAAGGGAAUUAUGAGUUUGUAAUUCAUAAGUGUGCAAUGACAUUUUGGUAAAAACACAAGGUUGUUUUGGAUCUUACGAACGGUCUUUUUGGAUUUGCCUAGUUAAUUAAUUGGAGCAUGGUAGGUCUAAUUAAUUAAUUAAGAUCCAAAUGAGCUAUAUUAAGUGGCUUAAGCCCAAUUUAGACUCAAGUUACUUAAGUCUACAAGGAAGCCUAGCAUCCUUAGACUCAAUAGGGCUUUAGUUUUUACAUCAUUGUUUUCUAGUUUCUAGAAAAGAAACUCCUAGCAUCCCUUUAGAUAACCCACCCUUAUCUUGUGGUAGAGAUCUAUGAAAGUAGUGAUUCGAUGGAAGAUCCAUAGGUUUACAAGAUCUAUGAUACCAUCAUAGUUUAUUUCAUUGGAUUGGAUUUGUUCUGGGAAUAUCUAGAUCAUAGUAUGACAUCUAAUCGUAGAUCUAUGAUCAUUAUGGUGUUGUUUACCAUAUUUCUUCAUUGAGUUAGAUUUAGAGAAGGUUAGGCAUAGUUGCAUGCACUCUACAAGAUCCAGGGCUAGAGAAUAGAGUAAUUCAAGGUUCCUAGCAUCCUCUUAUUUCAAGAAUUUAAUAUAUAGAUAUUUAGGAUAAGAAAUGUUAAGAUAAAGCCCUUAAGAAUAUAUUAUCAUGUAACAAAAUAAGAUUCAUUAAUAUAUUUAAUUAUAAUUUUAGUUUCCACUUUUCUAUCCAUGAUUGUAUUAUUACUCAUGGGAGUAUUUAGGCUUGCAUCACUUGGAUUGCACAUGAAUUGAGUGCAUUAGAAGAUUGGUGGAAAAUUUAAGUCAUUGGUUCUUUACAAGUUGAUGAGUUGUUCACAACCAAUUCAUGGACUUAGGCAAUCCAUUAGAGAUAGUAGUGUGCUACCUCUUAAUUGAAGGGCUGACUUAUCUUGAUCAUCAACAUAGAUUUCCCAUGAUGAGUGCAAUAAUGUGUAUGGUUACACAUUGGAUAAAACCUAUGACAAAUCAUUACAUGGGAUAUCGUAUGGUUAUGACUUCACCAAGUUACAAUGUUGCAAGGACUAUCAACCUUGAGAGAAUAUUGAACUUGUGUUGAGCUCUGCAAUGACUUAAACUUAUGAGUGAAACUCUAAGGUUGUCAUAAAUUGUCUAAGAAUUGAGUCCCUGAUGUUUAAGGCAAGUGGUAAUAGGUGUACUCAAGGUAGACAUCAUGAUAUCUCAUGGGACUGAGAUAAUGUCCCUUGGGGUGAUCUUAGGGACUUGUGAUCAUUAAAUCUAUGGCUGCAACAAUUCCUUAAGUGGGAUUUAACAUAUGUCCUUUGUGUAUUAGAACAUGUUAAUUGAUCACAAAAAAUAAGGAUUUGAAAUUCAAGAAUUAUAGAGACAAUCUUGAUAUGUUGAUAGCUACUAUCUUAUUAGAUUGUGCACACUAGUUCAUAAGAAACUUGUAUGUAGUGGAUUUAAUAAAUGUUAUCUCAAUGUAAUAUCAUAGGGUAUUUAAGUGAAAUUGACUUUUUUCAGUGGAAUAUUGAGUUAACUUUAUUAUUGGAUUCUAAAAUAGUUAGUUUUUUCCAAUGUUCUUAAAAUCCAACCGGACUGACCAAUUUGACUGAUCGAACCAUAGACUGGAACUUGGUUCGGUUCAUUCCAACCUAUGGCCCAGAGUACAUAUUGAACCAGGCUUAAACUGAAUGGAUUGACAGUUGGACCAUUAAACCUGUGAAUUGAUCAUUCGGUUCUGGGUUGACAUUUUUUUUCCUCGCUAAAGGGUGGUUAGGAGCCCAACCUAGUUCACCCUACUUUAGCCUACCAUAUAAGGCUAGUGGGCCAAGGACCACAUAAAGCUACAAUACGAUACAUGGGACAAAGAAUUUAAAGGAGUGUUCAUCCUCCUCUGCUUCCACAACUCCCAAUGUGGGAUGAGAUAUAAAAUCCAUACAAUUUUCCACAACUUCUCAUGUGGGAUGAGAUAAAAUACAUAAGCUAUAAUGCAAUUGGCAAUUGACAACCAGAUGAUUUGAACCAAUUUGUUACUAAUAAUUGAUAUUUAAAAAUUGUAAACUAAAAAACCAAUAACAUAAUUAUUUAAAAAUUGUUUUGAUAAUAAAAAAAAUAUAAGUAAAAUAAUGUAAUAUAGGUAAAAUAAAUUAUAAAUAAAAGAAUUUUCUUCUAUUGUAAUACAUAUUUUAUUUAUAAAAUUUAAAAUAUUAAUAUUUUUAGAUUUACUCAUGAUUUAAGUUUGAUAAUAUUAAAGACAAUAUAUAUAUAUAUAUAUAUAUAUAUAUAUAUAUAUAUAUAUAUAUAUAUAUAUAUAUAUAUAUAUAUAUAUAUAUAUAUAUAUAUGCUUUAAAAUUUUAAAAUUUAUUUUUAAUUUUAAUAAUAAAUAAAUUAUAUAUUUAUGACAUCAUCGAUUCGAUUGCAGUUUGACCAUUGGUUUGACCAUUGAAUCGUGAACUGGUAACUUUUUUAGUUCAAUGACCGAUCCAAUUAUGAAAAAAUUGGUUUUUUCUUAUAAGCUUUAGUGGGCCUUGCUUGAACUCGUAAUCUUUGUUAGAACAAAGACUUGAGGGAAAUUGGGUUUAUUUAAUCAUAUGUCUGCAUAAGAGCAAUUUGAUAAGAAUGCAAGGUUGCACAAAAACUUAUAAUUAUUAUUUUAGGUUUCCUAAAUUAAGCUAAUUAAUUAAUCGGAGUCCAUCAGUGCUAAUUAAUUAAUUAAGAUCCAAUGGUCUAGAUUAAAUGAUCUAACCUCCAGUGGGCCUAAGUUACUUAAGCCCACAAGAGUGACUAUAACUUCUUAGGGUUUAGGGUAAGCUAACAAAGAAAUCCAUCUAUUCAUUCUUUAUUCUUCUAAAGAAAACCUUAUUCAUCUUUUCUCUCUCAAGGUUGUGUAGCCACUUUAGACACAUGACAAGGAUCAAAGACAAAUCUUUUGAGUGGAACACACCUAGUUUUUGAGAUCUCUACAUUAACUUGAAUUUGAUCUAGGAAAAUCCAUGUUGAAUUGUAUGUCUUUUAGCACCUAAAUCUAAGUGUAGACCCUUCAUUUUGUCUCCUUAGCACAUGCCCUAUGAGGUGUUCUUUCAAUAUUUCACAGUAGUUCUCUAGUUGCCCAUUGCUACUCAUGCAACUUUUCUUUUUUAACCACCUUGGAGACUUUGAAUGAGGGAUUUAUCUAGCCCCUCAUUGUGACCCUUGGCAACCUUGAGUUAGAUCUAAGUUUUUUUUUUCUUUUUAGGAUAACUCAUUUAGGUACACUUUCACUUAGACACAUCCUAGGUCACCUAGCCACUUUUCUUAUCACCCUAGGUCACUUAGGCACUUUUCUAAUCAUCCUAGGUCACUUAGACACUUUUUUUAAUCACCUUAAGUCACUUAGACACUUUUUUUUUUUUUUUUUUUUAUCACCUAGGUCCACUUAGAUUCAUUUAGGCCCACCUUAGACCCAUCUAAGCCCACUUAGCCCACUUAGGUUCACUCAAGCCUAUUUAGGCCCAUCAGAUCCACAUUAGGCCCAUCUAGGCCCACUUGACCCAUUCAGGUUCACUCAAGCCCAUUUAGGCAGAUUUAGGCCCACUUAGGUUCUCAUUUGGCCCAUCUAGGCACACCUAAGGCCAUUUAGGCCAUUUAGGUCAUUUAGGUCCAUCUAGGAUCACCUUAGCCCAUUUAGGUAACUUAGGCACAUUUUGGUACACCUUAGGCCCAUUUAGACUCACCCUAGCCCAUUUAGACACAUCUAAGCCCAUUUAGGUCAAUUAGGCCCACUUAAGCAUGCCUUGACCCAUUUAGGUCACUUAGGCCCAUUUAGGCAUCUCAACCCAUUUAAGCACACCUAGGCCCAUUUUGGAACCUUGGCCCAUAUCUGGCCCAUUUAGGCAUACCUAACCUAUUUAGGAAUACCUUGACACAUUUAGGCACACUUAGCCUAUUUAGGAACAACUUGGCCUAUUUAAGCACAUUUGACUCGUUUAGGCACACCUUGACCCUUUUAGGCAUACUUGGCUUAUUUAGGCACAUUUGACCCAUUUAGGAAUGUCUUGGCCUAUUCCAACCAAGGAUGAAAGUAUCAGUAAUUACGAAUAUAUUGGUAUUUCCGUUUAUGGAUAUAUCUGAUAUAUCGACGGAUAUUUUGACAUAAAAUAUCGGUGAACUUAAAAUUGAUCAGAAAUUAUAAAAAUGUAAGAAAAAACUAUUAAAAAUAAAAUUACAAGUAUAAUAGAUAUUUUAAAGUUGUUUUAUUCAAGAAAUUGAUAUAUGUAUGAUAUAAUUUAUCAUAUUUGAUAAUAAUAUUAUAUGUGCUAAUAAAAAAAAAUGAAUUUUAUAAGUAUACAUUUAUUAUUAAAUUAUAUCAAAUAUUAUUCGAUAAUAAUAUUUGUGAUAUUUGAUUAUAAUAUGUCUAAUUUAAAAAUGUAUUUAAUAUUAAAAUUAUAAUUCGUUUAAUUCAAUUGUAUUAAAUGAUAUAAAAUAAAUGAUGAUAUAUGUAUAAUUUUUAAUACUUAAUUAAUAUAUUAAUGAUAUUAAAAACACUAUGAAGAAAAUUAUCACAAUAAUUUUUAUAUUUUUAGUAUUCAAAUAGAUGAAAUUUUUUCAUUUAAUUAUAAUUAAUUUGUUCUUUAAAACAUUUUUAAAAAUUAUGUUUAUACGAUGAAUUUGAGUUUAUAUAUAUUUGGUGCAACUUAUAUAACAAGGGACAAACUUGCCCUACUGGUUGGCUUAAUGCAUAGUAAACCUUUUGGUUGGGGUUAACAUUCAAGUUCCAGCUCAUGUUAGCUCAUUUAGUCUCACUUAGAUCACUUAUGUUCACUUUAAGUACACUUAAGCUUAGUUUAUCUAGUUCAUUUUAAGAAGUUUUCUCUAAGUUGCACUUUAGAAUAAUUAUUUUAGAGGCAUAUUUAGUUCAUUCUAGUUUAGGUACACUUUAGGAUAGUUCUCUUAGAUGCAUAUUUAGUUCACCUUAGUUUAGAUGCACUUUUUCAUUUUAGUUGAACUAAUGUUCAUGCCAUUUAGGAACACUCUAAGUUAGUUCAUCCAUUUCUUAUUUAGGUAUAUUAUCUAGUUACAUUUUUUUAGAAUUCGUUUUAUAUACAUUUUAAAAAGGAGAGUGAGAAUUUUUUUAAGGAAUAUGAUAACUUUUUUUUUAUUUAUAUAAAAAAGGAAGAUAUGACAAUUUUUGAAGAUGGCAUCAAUUUUUUUUUUUUUUUAAAAAGAGAUGAAAAUUAUUUUGAAGAUGACAACAAUUUUUUUUAAAGGAGAAGGAAAAUAAUUAAAAGGAAUAGAAGAUAAGAUUUUUUUUUUUUUUUUCUUUUAAGAUGGUACCAUUUUAAAAAAAAAAAGGAUAGAAGAUAUGAAUUUUUUUUUUUAAAAGGAAAAGGAGAAUUUUUUUUAAAAGGAAUAUGAGUAUUUUGGAAGAGGAUAUCAUAAUUCUUUUAUAGAGGAUAUUUGAGUUUAGAAAAGAAGGACACAUAUAAGGAUUCAUGGACUAGAGGACCCGACCAUAUUGAGAAGAAUAGAGAUUCAUGCAUUUUAGAGAAGACUACUCACCAUCUUGGAUUAGGAAAAGUGUGGUGGUUGUCAUUGACUUGCCAAAACAGAUUUCAAGCAUGCAUUUGAGGAAAAGAUUGGGGGGACAUCAUUAAGGAAGAGAAAAACCUAGACAUGAAUGGAGAUUGAUUUUUUCUUUUUUCUUAUUUUUUUUUUAAGAAAAAAAAAGAAAAGAAAAGAAAGGAAAAGAGAUUUUGGGGAAGAAAACAUGAUGAACAGUCGAUGAAAGGAAGGGGACAUUUAGGAAGAAGAAGAGAUCGCCUUCUUUUGAGAGUAAAAUGAGACGUUUUGAGGGAUUCAGAGGGGUUUUAAGGGAUUUUUUUUUUUUUUUAGCAAUUUGGAGAGGGAUCAAUAGCCUUUCGUGGGGGUUCUCAAACUUUAUCUUCAUAUCAUAAUUUGAAGAAGAAGGUGAGUAAGUUUAGAAAAUGUUGGGAUUUAUUUUUUCUGGUUGUUAUGUAUUAUUCUGGGUUUUGUAUAUUGUUUUAUGUUAUUGAAGUUUUGAUUUUUAUUGAGUGCUUAGAAAAUUGUUAGCACUGUUGUGAAAUAAGGACAAAUACAAUGCAAAUCAAAGUAGUAAAGAUGGAAUAUAUUUUACUUUGAUAUAUAAUAGGGAAGAAGAAAUCAGAUACGAGAGUUGAGAAAGUUGAGAGAAUGAAAAACAGAGAUAAUGAGAUGAAGAAAAUUUCUUUCUUUUUCUCGGGAUGUAUAUUGCAGGAGAUGGGAAGCCCUUUUAUAGGCUUUCCAAAUGGCUUCCAUUAAUAUCCCCAUUAAUGAAACUCAUAAAUAACAUUAAUGGUUUCUAUUAAUGAGUAUUAAUGGAAGUCAUAAAUAAUACUUAAUUAACAUUACUGUGGUGACAUUCAUUACUUCAGUUAUAACACUCCCCCUUGGAUGUUCAUCACAUUGAAGAAUAUGCCUCAUUAAAACCUUACUAGUAAAAAACCCUAUAGGAAAAACCUAGCAAAGGAAAAAGAGUACAAUAUUCUUUUCUAGGUAUAUUAGGAUUGCCUCGUUAAAAACCUUACUAGUAAAACCCAGUAGGACAAAACUUGGACGAAGGAAAAAGAGUACAGUACACUAACACCCUUUUACAAGCAUACUUCCCUUAAGUCGAUAUCAUUGAGUUGACGUAUUCCAAUCAUGUGUAUUAACUUCUUGAAUAUUGAGGUUGGCAAUGAUUUUGUGGUAAAUCUGCUAGAUUAUCACUUGAGCAUAUUUGUUGCACAUCAAUUUCACCACUCUUCUGGAGUUCAUGUGUAUAAAAGAAUUUUGGUGAAAUGUGUUUAGUUCUAUCUCCUUAAUAUAACUCCCUGUUAUUUGUGCAAUGCAUGCUGCAUUAUCUUCAAAUAAUAUUGUCGGGUCACCUUUGAUAGAGGAGAGUCCACAUGAUUCCCGAAUAUGCUGGAUCAUAGAUCUUAGCCAUAUACAUUCACGACUUGCUUCAUGAAUUGCUAGUAUUUUUGAAUGAUUUGAUGAUGUGGCCACCAUUGUUUGUUUGACAGAUCUCCAUAAAAUAGCAAUACCAUUGCAAUUAAAUACAUACCCUGUUUGUGACCUACCUUUAUGUGGAUCUCAAAGAUAUCCUGCCUCUGCAUAUCAAGCAAUUGUUGCUUUGAUUCCCUUGAGUAAAAUAAAUCCAUAUCAGUAGUUCCACGAAGAUAACGCAAUAUAUGUUUGAUACCAUUCCAAUGUUUUUGAGUUAGAGCGGAACUGUAUCUUGCUAAUAAAUUGACAGAAAAAGCAAUGUCUGGAUGUGUACAAUUGGCAAGAUACAUAAGUGCACCAAUAGCACUAAGAUAUGGUACUUCAGGACUAAGUAACUCUUCAUCUUUUUCGCAAGGACGAAAUGGGUCAUUUUUCACAUCAAGUGAUCGGACAACCAUUGGAGAACUUAAAUGAUGCACUUUAUCCAUAUAAAAACGCUUCAAAACUUUCUUAAUGUAUGUUGAUUGAUGUACUAAAACUCCAUUUGAAAAAUGCUCGAUCUGUAGGCCAAGACAAAAUUUUGUUUUUCUAAGAUUUUUCAUCUCAGAUUCUUUUUUCAAGUAAUUUGUUGUUCUUGUGAGCUCUUCAGGAGUUCCAAUAAGAUUUAAGUCAUCAACAUACACUGCAAUAAUUGCAAAUCCGAUUUCUGAUUUCUUAAUGAAGAUGCAUGGGCAUAUAGGGUUAUUCACAUACCCUUCUUUUAGCAAGUAUUCGCUAAGGCGAUUGUACCACAUGCAUCUAGAUUGCUUUAAUCCAUACGAGGAUCGUUGUAACUUGAUUGAGUACAUGCUACGAGGCUUUGUACUAUUUGCUCAAGGAAAUUUAAAUCCUUUAGGGAUUUUCAUGUAUAUAUCAUUAUCCAUGGAUUCGUAUAAAUAUGUUGUAAUAACAUCCAUGAGACACAUAUCCAGUCCUUCUGAGACUGCCAAACUAAUUAAGAAAUGAAUUGUGAUUGCAUUCAUGACGGGAGAAUAUGUUUCCUUGUAGUCAAUACCAGGUCUCUGCGAGAAACCUUGUGCUACUAAUUGCACUUUAUAUCUUAUGAUCUCAUUUUUCUCAUUACGCUUUCGUACAAAUACCCAUUUGUACCCAACAGGCUAUACAUCUUUAGGUGUUUGGACUACAGGUCCAAAAACUUCUCGUUUUGUUAAUGAGUUUAACUCUGCCUGUAUAGCUUCUUUCCAUUUUGGCCAAUCAUUUUUAUGUCGAUAUUCUUCCAUAUUUCGUGGUUCGGGAUCUUCAUCAUUUCCUAUGAUAUCAGAGGCCACUUGGAAAGUAAAAAUAUUGUUAAUAACAAUAUUAUUUCGAUCCCAUUUUUCUCCUAUGUGUAUAUAACUUACUGAGAUCUCACAAUUUUCAAGUACCUAUGCCUCUUCAGGGGCUUCUUAUUCAAUAUGUGCCUCUUCGGGGGCUUCUUGUUCAAUAUAUGCUUCUUCAGGGGCUUUUUGCAUUAUUUGUGCCUCUUCUAGGGCUAUAGAUUUAUCAAUUUUAAACUGAUCAGUCAUUUUGAUGGCCUAUUUUAGAGUGCCAAGUUUUUCUUGGGUUCUCCUCUUUCGGGGAGUUACAUCCUUUGAGUCAACAGGUCUACCACGCUUCAGGCGUAUCUUAGAUUCAUUUGUUAACUGUCCUAUAGGGACAUCAAUCCUUGCUGGAGUAUUUGCAGCCGGGAUAUGUGACUUUGUCACUUUCUUUGUAUCAAUGAAUGCAUCUGGUAAUUGAUUUGCAAGAUUUUGCAAAUGAAUGAUCCUUUGAGCUUCUAGUUCAAAUUGAUUUGUACGAGGAUCAAGAUGAGUCAUAGUAGAUGCCUUCCAACUAAUUUCUCAUCGAUCUUCAUGAAUCGACUUUUCUCUCCCCUAAUGAUGGGAAAACACUCUCAUUAAAAUGACAAUCCGCAAAGCGGGCUGUAAAAACAUCGCCUGUCAAAGGUUCAAGAUAUCUCAUGAUAGAUGGAGAAUCAAAACCUACAUAAAUCCCAAGUCUUUGUUGGGGACCCAUUUUAGUGCGUUGUGUAGGUGCAAUUGGUACAUAUACUGCACAACCAAAGAUUCGUAAGUGAGAGAUAUUUGGUUAUUUUCCAAGCACAAGUUGUGAAGGGGAGUAUUCAUGGUAAGUUGUAGGUCGAAUACGGACUAAAGUUGCAACAUGCAUAAUAGCAUGUCCCCAGGUGGAAGUAUGUAAUUUGGUUUUCAUUAUUAAUGGUCGAGCUAUUAAUUGGAGACGUUUGAUGAAGGAUUCUGCUAAACCAUUUUGGGUAUGAGUAUGAGCAACAGGAUGCUCAAUAUUUAUCCCUACUGACAUGCAAUAGUCAAUGAAUGUUUGAGAAGUAAAUUUGCCAGCAUUAUUAAAACGUAUUGUCUUAAUUGGAUAAUCUGGAAAUUGUGCUCGUAAUCUGAUUAUUUGUGCAAGGAGUUUAGCAAAGGCAACGUUACGUGUAGAAAGGAGACAAACAUGUGACCACCUAGUAGAAGCAUCUAUUAAGAUCAUAAAAUAACAGAAUGGUCCACAUGGUGGAUGGAUAGACCCACAUAUGUCCCCAUGUAUUCUUUCUAAAAAGACUGGUGACUCAGAUAUGACUUUAGUAAAAGAUGGUCUGAUUAUCAAUUAACCUUUUGAGCAAGCAGCACAUGAGUAUUCAUUGGGCGUAAGAAUCUUCUGGUUCGUUAAUGGAUGACCAUGUGAGUGUUCGAUUAUUUGAUGCAUCAUUGAAGACCCUGGUUGACCUAGCCUGUCAUGCCAAAGGACAAAAACUUUUGGGUCGUUGAACUUCUGGUUCACGACAACAUAUGAUUCAAUAGACUUUAUGGUUGUAUGAUACAACCCAGAGGAGAAAGCCGGGAGUUUUUCCAUUAUAAGCUUCUGACCAGAUAUAAUGGAAGUAAUGUAAAGAUAUUCUACAUUAUCUUCAUUUAUAGUUUCAAUAUGAUAUCCAUUUCUGCGGAUAUCUGUAAAACCGAGCAAAUUUCUUCUAGAUUUGCUAGAAUAUAAAGCAUAAUUUAUAUGAAAUCUAGUUCCAUUUGGUAACAUUAUGUUUGCUCUUCCAGAACCUUCAACUAAGUUUGUAGUACCAGAUAUGAUACUUACAUUAGCUUUUAUUAAUGUCAAUUCGAGAAAAUAUAUUUUAUCUCGAAGAAUUGUGUGCGUGGUCGCACAGUCUGCGAGACAUACAUCAUUCUCAUUCAUCUUGAGACCAAAUAACACAUGGAUUUCAGAUAUAACAAAAAAAAACAAGGCAUAAUGUAAAUAACAAAAGAAAAUUAGAUGUAAAUAUAAGACAUAAUAAUAUAUUAUUUCAUAUACAAAGUAACAUCAAUCAAUGUUAAUUUUCUCAUCAUUUAUCAAAUGGUUUGUUUUUUCAUUGGGACCUCCAAAGAAAUCAAUGUCAUAGUAGGUUAGGUCCAAUCCAUCUCCAUCGGUAAAGUUCAUCUCUAUCUCUUUUCCUUUUACUUUUAUUGAUGCUUGGUAGAGGUCAACCAAAUGUUUGGGCGUACGACAGGUACGCGACCAAUGCCCCUUCAUAUCACAUCUAUAACAAUUAUUCUCAUGGUUCUUAGGAGGUUUAUCUUGUAAACGCUUCCCAUUUUCAUAUUUUGCCUCAGUAUUGUUCCAUUUCGUAUUGUUCCACUUCUGGUGGUGCAAUGAGGCUUUCAUUUUAUGAGAAUUAUUAUUACAAGAACCAUGGUAUCGGGGAUUUCUUCCAUGACCACAACCACGUCCUCAUCAACUCCACGAGUUUGGGACAAUAUUGCAUUCAUUUUAAGGAAUGAUUCAGAUCCAGUUGGAUGAGAUUAGUGAUUUCUUAUCAAAAACUCUUUUUUUUUUUUAAACCUUCAUGGAGAUGAUUGAUUCGUGCCCACUUGGUGUCUCAGCUGAUUCAUGUCCAGCUGGUGCUCCUUGAUUGAGGGAGUAAUCAACAAAAUUUAUAACCUAUUACACCAUGUACUAGGGCAGCAAAGACAAAACUACUAUAGCAUAGUGGCUCUAGGAUCGUUCACUGGGAUGAGUUUUCACUUCACAAAUGAUAUUAAUUCAAAGUUGAAUUGGUGCCUUUUCAUUUCAAGGUUAGCUUUAAAAGAAAACAUAAACUUGAGUUGGAAAAUGUUUGGUUUUAAACUAACCACAAAUAGUAACUGAUUUUACUUACAAAGAAAAGUGUUUCUUGGAGCUCAAAUCACUAGGCUCAGGUUCCUCAUACAAAAAGGGGAGUUCCGGUCACUUGUUUCUUUUCCUCGCAUUAGAGAAUUAACAUAUAGUUCCUUCUCUAACCGGUGUUGUACAGAUGCUUCCUAUUAAUGGGUUCAAACACUAAAUUCCUCUCACUGAUGCACCUUGCAAUGGCUCAUGCCUCUCACCUAGCACUUGCCAUUCAAGAUGAUCUUUAACCUUGGACUUCCCUUCAAAAGCUCGCAAGAGAUAACUAAUGGAUGUCUCCUUGGAGUCCAAAAGCUUACCAAGUGUUGGCUAUUCUAGAAAAUCCUACCUUCAAACCACCUCCCAAAGGCUCGCAAGAGAUAAACUAGUGAAUCUCCAUGGACGGAGAUCACUUGCCUUACCAAGUGUUGGCCCAGGUGAUUUAAAGGCGUUUUAAGUUAACUAAAAAGAUAAAAACCAUUAACGGGUCACACUUUCUCUUCAUUAAAAACUAAAACAACAAAACUUCCAAAUUAUGCAUGUGGAAACUUACCCGGAUUUCGUCACUCCAAGAGACGAAAAGCCUAGCCUCUCAUCCUCUGAGGAAAAAUCCUUAGAGUUUGGUUAGCAAGAAAAUGAAAAUGAAAGAGAAGGAAAAAAACAGAGCAAGGCUCUGUAUAUUCUAUAUAUUUAUAUAUCUAUAUAUCUAUAUAUUUUACAGUGGAUGCAAGGGAAUAUAUAUAGAGACGUUUUUCUAACCUUCCUAACUAAGAAAUCUUAUGGUUGGUGGAUUACAAGGAGAAGAAUGGAAAUUUAUACAAAAAUAUCUGAAGAAAAAUAUCCAAAAGUGUCGGUCGCAACUAUCAGGAAGCUUCAGGAGAACACCCGUGCACUGUGCAAAAUGGCUGCGAAAUUCUUGCAGCAAAAGGGUGAUUUCGCAGCCGUGCAAAAUUCUUCCUUCAGCUUGGAGUGAUUGGGUUCCAAUGGCUGUAACUCCUUCAUUUCAACUUCAAAUCGCGCACCGUUUGAAGCAUUGGAUUCUUGACUUCCUGAGCUUUGAAAUGGUAUAUAGCAUGUAGAAAAUGGACUUCAGGAAGUGCUCCAAAAGUGCGAAAGAAGACUGCAGCUGCUAUCCUCUAUUUUCUUCACUCUGUUUUUCCUCUCUCUGUUGUUCUUUCCUUGCAUACUUUGAACGACUUUGGCAAAGGGCUAUGGAGCUCCAAAGCUUGGUUCUUCAUGAAUUUGAGCUUCCAAAAGCUUUGCCAUGAACUAUAUACAACUCUCCCUCAUUCUUGGAUUGCUUUGGUGUAGCUAAAAGCUAUCAAAAACACCAAAACUUAACACAAUUUGAUUAGAAACGAUUGCAAGGGUCCUUAACAUGUCAAUUGAGUUAAAAGGUAAUAAUUACUACUCAAGAGUGUUUAAAAGAGUUAAUUACAAGCUAUGAAAUAACACUUUUUGAGUAGUAAUCAAUGAUGACGAAGGAAAAUCACUGUUUUUACGCGAUCCUGCAAGGAUGCUUGAUUUCCUUCUUUGAUCACAGCUCCAAGAUUCAUUGCAUUAAGAUGUAUUUUAGCAUCAAAGAUCCAAGAAUGAUAGUUAUUUCCCGAAAUGUCAAGUGCCACAAAUUCGAGUUUUGUGAUAUUCGACAUUGUCAAAUAACUUCAUAUAUAUGACAAAACAAUAUUAUUAAAAUCAAUUAUAAUAACUUGAUAGCAUUGGUAUAACUUUGAUUAUAAACAAAAUCAAAUAAUUUGUUUAUAACUUUUAAGAAUAUGUAACAAAACAAAUGAACAAUAAUAUAAAUAUGUAAAAUUUUAUUCUAUAUAAAUAACUUCAAGUUUAAGAUACGAGAAUUACCUUUAGAGCAAUUCGUGCUGAUAACGUGUUGUGAAAUAAGGACAAAUACAAUGCAAAUCAAAGUAGUAGAGAUGAAAUAUAUCUUACUUUGAUAUAUAAUAGGGAAGAAGAAAUCAGAUAAGAGAGUUGAGAAAGUUGAGAGAAUGAAAAACAGAGAGAAUGAGAGGAAGAGAAUUUCUUUCUUUUUCUCCGGAUGUAUAUUACAGGAGAUGGGAAGCCCUUUUAUAGGCUUUCCAAAUGGCUUCCAUUAAUAUCCCCAUUAAUGAAUAUUAAUGAAACUCAUAAAUAACAUUAAUGGUUUCCAUUAAUGAGCAUUAAUAGAAGUCAUAAAUAAUACUUAAUUAACAUUAAUGUGGUGGCAUUCAUUACUUCAAUUAUAACAAGCACUUAUUUUUCUAGUUAUGUAUUAUCCCUGAUUUUGUAUAUUGUCUUAUGUUAUUUAAGUUUUGAUUUCUAUUGAAUGCUUAGAAAGUUUUUAGGAUUUAGUUUUUUUUUUUUCUAUUGAAUUCUUAGAAAGUUCUCAGGAUUUAGUUUUUCUUUAUCUUCAUGUCAUUUAGCAUGUUGUACUAUUUAUCUAAUUUUAUUAAAAAUCAAAUUUUGAAAAGUUUUGGUUUAAUUUAAUUUUCUCAACACUAUUCAUUUCAUUAGAAUUUUAUUAAAAAUAAAUUUUGAAAAGUUUAGUUUGAGUUUUAAUUUUUCGGUAAAAUCAAAUUUUAAAAAGUUAGUUUGAGUUGUAAUUUUCUAGUACUAUUUAUUUCAUUAAAAUUUUAUUAAAAAUCAAAUGAAAGGUAGGUUUUGGGAUCCAAGUUCACCUUUUCUCUUUUUUUUUUUUAAAUACCUCUAGGAAAGAAAUAAAAAAUCCUUAUUUUGUCUAUAUUGAUUGAAAUUUACUAAUUCACAUGGUCUCUUUUUUGUUUGCCCUAAAAUUAUUUUCAAAAGUAUUUAAAUCAUCAAAAGGCUUUAAAAAAAAAUUAUCCAUUCAAGGUUUAAGCAAAGAACAUAUUUUCUUUUAAAAUCAUGCAACUCAUUUCAUCUAAGUUGCAUUCUUUAUUUUUCGGUUUUUUGAAACUUUGUUUUCAUUCACAUAAGUUUAAACUUGUGCUCUCAAGCUAAUGAGAAUACUAGGUUAAACUUAUGAAUAUUCAAUGGAGACUUGAUGGAACCCUUACAUCAAAGAUUUUUAAAACUCAUGUUUGCUAUCAGUUUCAACUCAGCCACCGACCCUUUAUUAAAAAAAAAAAUUUGUUCUUGAUUGCUUGGAGUGUUUUUUUUUUUUUUUCAAAAAUAGUAUGAUGUUCCUUAUUCUUUGUAGUUGAUUUUGGAAGAAUGUUUCAACCAAAAAGCUUUUCUCAAAGUUGAGUUAUGAUAUUUUCUUUCCACACAUUAUAUUUAGCUUGAUACUAUACACACCGUGCAUGCUAGGAUUUAGAAUUUUACUAUUUGAAAUUGUUAUUUACUCUAGCCUCAUUUAUCUUAUGGAAGCACUUUGUAAAUUACUUUUGCUAUUCAAGUACGCCUCCUCACCAUUGAUCUCUUAAUUUAACAGUUGUGUAUGAUUCAUGUGUGAACGUCCCUUGCUAACUCUACUUUAUGUUUGUGAUUAACAAAGCUUACAUGUUUGUUUAAUAUAUUAUUAUAAUUUAGGUUAACACCUUAGCCUUUCCUAGUGUCCCUAAUCAAUUAGCUCAUUGUUAUAAUUUCCUCAAUUUAGUAAGUAGAGACCUUUUUAGGGCCUAGAGGGGUGCUUCCUCUGUGAGGUACCUUCCCAAUAGGUAACUAGAUUCUCGGACCAAGACUUGGGUUUUUCAAAGACAUGCUUUUCCAAAACUUAAGGCGUCAUUUUUUUAAGGGCUAUAGUUUCUUAUUUUAUUUAUUUAUUUUUAAAAUAAUAAUAAUAAUAAUAAGCAACGAAUCCAAUUUUCAUACAAAUAAUAGUUUUUUCACAAAAAAAAAAAAACAAGUAUUGUUGACGAGUGGGGACACACAUGAGAAAUUUAGGUCCACAAUAAGACUUUUUUUUUUCCUUGAAAAUUGUAUUUACUUCAUCUUAUGCUUAGAUCUUGUAGCCAUAAGGUCUUAGAUGCAUGCACUCAUGAUCCCAUCCUAACAAGUGGUGUGAGAGCACUAGGAUAGGAUUGACCUACUCAUUAGGAUUGGGCCUCUAAAAGCAAGACAUGGUAUAACAAAAUUAGACUUAACCACCCCCUUGUUAUCCUUUUGGUGUAUUAACAUUGAUUUGAGCAUUCAACCUAUGUCUCUUACUUUGUACAUAACUUAUGCACAUUAGGAGUUGCAUAGAAGAUACAAGUUGUGGGUUCCUUAUAAGUAGAUAAGUUGUCCACAGUUGGUUCAUAGAUUUAGACAAUCUAGUAGAGACUGUAGUGCACCACAUUCUAAUUUGAGGGAUGAGUUAUCUUGACCGUUGGGAUGGGUUUCCCAUGGUGAGUGCACUAGUGUAUGUGAUGCAUACUAGACAGGACCUACAGUGAAUCAUGAUAUAAGGCUAUCAAGUGUCAUGAUUCACCAAACUACUAUACCACAUGGACUCUCAACCUUGAGAGGAUAUUGAGCAUGUGCUGAAAUCAAUAGGAGGCUUUAACCUAUGGGUGAGACCCUAAAGUGGUCAUAUAUCCCUAUGAAUUGGGUCACUGUUGAUAGAGGUUGGUGGCAAUAGGUAUCUUAAUAGAGGCACCAUAAUAUCUCAUGGGAUUGAGACAAUGUGUCCCCUUAGGUGAUCCAAAUGACAUGUGAACAUGAAAUAGAUGGCCAUAGUAAUUUCUUUAGUGGAAUUUGACAUAUGCUAGCUUCUAGGAGAUGGAGUAUGUUAGUUGAUUAGAUAAUAAGUGAGAUAUGUAACUCAAGGAUUUGAGAGAUAAUGUUGAUAGGUGAUAACACUACCUUGUUAGAUUACGAACACCAAUUCAUGAAGAGUCUUCAUGUAGUGGAUAGUAGGUCAUGGACCCAAGCCUCGUCUCAUUGUUAUUUACGUUGGGUACUAGAGUGCAGAUGAUUCUAUUUAGUGAAAUGUUGAAUCAACUUUAGAAUUAGAUUAUAAGGGAGCCAAUACUCCUAUGGGUCCUAGUGGUCCCUGUUUUAAGCUCAUAUACCAUGAUGAUAGGGCUUAUGAGGGUUAGAUUGACUCUAGGUUCAUUUUGGUGCAUAAGGGUGUUUUGAUAAUUAUGUCAAGUUGCAUAGGGGAUAGUGAACAAGAUCUUUGGUUUAGGUUAAUUGAUUAAUUAGAUUGCUCUAUGUGGUUAAUUAAUCAAGUAGGACUCGUUUUGGGCUAGAUAAAGUGGCCCAAGCCUUGAUGGACUUAAGUCACUUAAGCCCAAUGGGUAAUCCUAUAAAUACCCCUCUAUAGGUUAGGAUUUCCUAAUGACUUGUGGUGAGAGUUGUCUUCCAACCCUAGAGAGAGAGAUCCAUAACCUCCUCCCUUAUAAAUCCCACACUUUGGAAUGCCAAGAUCGUGGUUCAAGUCAUCAAGCAGAAUAUCUUGGGUGUACAAGACCUUGGAGGUAGGGCUACAACACUUGGACGUGCAUAGGCCGUGUGCACAAAAAGCGCAUGGGACACACACAAACCGUGUGCACGGGAAUCGCAUGGGACUCGCACAUGGGGAGCAACAUGAGGAAAGACUCUCUGGUUUUUCUAGACAUGUUUUUCACCACAAAAAUUUGAUUUGGGAACAUCCAAAUCUAGGUAUGAGUAUUUUUUUUCUCUAGAUUUUUAUUGUAAUAUGGUUUUUAUAGUCAUAUGUUUCUACUAUAAUAAAUUUAGAGAAGCCUAGAAUAGUUUACAUGCAUCCUACAAGAUUUAGGGUAUGGGAACAAAGUAAUUCAAGGUUCCCAACACUGUAAACUUUGUUUAUAGGAGUGUUGAUUUAUCCCAUGGCCCAUAAGGGUGAAUACAUGGACAUUUAUUUUUAAUAUGAAUGAAUGAAUGAAUGGAUGCAUGUAUUAUUAUUAUUAUUAUUAUUAUUAUUAUUAUUAUUAUUAUUAUUAUUAUUAUUAUUAUUAUUAUUUGUAUCUCUUGGGUUGUAAACUUUAUAAGGAGAAUAGAAUUUUAGAUUUCUCUAUAAAAUCUUUUUCUUUUAAUGGAUGGGUUGUAAACUCCAUUUUGAGAGCAUAAUGGCUUGUAUUCUUUGUAAAAAUUUUAACUUUGGUCCAUCUAUAGUGACCCAAAAGAAAGGAUCAAAGCUUGUGAUUCAUUUAGGGGCAUUCAUAUAGAAAAACCAAUCAAGAAAGGUGAGUUUUUUCGGGACAAAAAUGAAAAAAAAAUUGAGAAUCAAGCUCUCAGCAUAGUAGUCCAAGUGAUAAUGCUCAAGCGCUACAAGCCACACCUUAAGCACUUGAGUGCUUCUGAAGGUGGCUCGAGCACUCGUAUUAUGGUAGCUACAAUUUCUCCAACAUGGGUUUAUUUUUUAUUUUUUUUUAUUUUAAGGUUUUUCUAGAAUUUUAGGUCUUUUUGUUUCUGUAACUUAAUUUUGGUUGCAUGGGUAUUUAGGCAAUUUUUUGAAUAAAUUAAAUUUUAAAUAUUUUGCUAGCUACCAAAAUUUGGGACAAGAUCCCUAAGGCUGGGGGAAAUUAUUUUAAUUUUCCUUUUUAUAUUCUUAAGCUAUAUAUAUAUAUAUAUAUAUAUAUAUAUAUAUAUGGCAUGUUGUGCAUGAAAAUUGGAAUUUUAGUAAUUUUUGAUAGAAAUAAAUUUCCUUGGAAAUUAGAUUUCAAAAGUAUAUUUUUAUUAAAUUGGAAAAGUGGUGACUAAAGAAAGAACUUUUUAUGAAAAUAAAAUUUAAAUUAAAGAGAGCAAAAUUUCAUUUUAUAAAAUCAUUUUGAAGGAUUUUAAAAUUUAUUGACUUAAAUUUAUUUUAUGAGUAUUCCUGAAAAAUAAAAGUUUUCUCUCUAGAUAAGGUGCUCUCUAUAUUUUAUUUUAUUUUAUUUUUAGAAAUUUUCUUAUUUUGAGAAUUUUGAAUUAGAAUAAUAAACAAUUUUGGAAAAUUUUGAGAUAGACAAUAAUAAGAUAUUACUAAAAAGUUUUGGAAAUUUAGUAAUUUAAUGGGAAAUAAAUUUCUAUGAAAAUAUUAAUUUCAAGAUAGGACAUUUAUUAAAUUGGAGUAGUGUAUGAGAAAAGAGAAUUUUUAAAAUUUGAAAGCAAUUUUGCUAUCAAAUUAAUUUAGGAUAAAAUUCUCUUAUGAAAAUUUUAUCAUUUUCAAAGUUCCAUUCUCUUAUCUCCUUAUGUUUCUAAUUAGGAAAUUAAUAAUUUUGAAAAUUUUUAUAGAAGAUAAUUAUUUAUCAAGGGAAUUACCAAGGAAUUUAAAAGCUCCAAUUAACUCAAAAGAUAAAGUGGGCAAGGCCUUAGCAAAGCCCACAACCUUCAUUAUCAAGUCCAUCUUGAUUUUUUGUCAUUGUCACCCCAACGGUGAGUUGGCUAAGAAAUCAAAGGAUAUGAACUUUCCAAUUGGCGAGACUAGAUAUGUUAGUAGAGUAACCACCUCAACAAUGGUUUUUUUUUUUUUUUUUUAACUUGGUAACGUUAAUAUUAAAGACAAUAUUCAUACACUUAACUUAGAAGUGGUUGAAUAAUCCAAUAUGGUCCCACUUGCAUAAUAAAGGGUUAAAUAAAAGGAUAUGUUAAUCUUGCCUUAGAGUUUUAAAAUAGAAAGAUUAAUAUGAGAAGGUCUCUACCUAGUAAUAAGAUUAAAAUAUUAAAGACAUGUUGUUUAUUUUUGUUACAUUAAUCAUGUCUUUUAAUCCAAUUACUCCCAUUCUCACAACAAAAAUUAAUUAAACAUAAUUAUGUGGAUUAGAAGAGAAACUUGGAUAUAGUGCUUACAUCAAAGGAGCUUGAAUGGGUAACUCAGGAAUUUGCUCUAAAUAAUCCUAAUAAGUAGCCCUCAAAAGAACAUGGAGAGGCAUAUAAUAGAUGGCAUAAGGCGAGAUGAGAAUGCCAAGUGUCUUAUACUUAGGUCUUUGGAUAAUUUGUUGCAACAGCAACACAUGUCUCAUGCAAAAAGUUAUGAUAUUCUCUUUAUCUAGGAAGAGAUGUUUGGUAAUAAGAAGAGUUAUGAUAGACAAGCUACCCUAAUGACUAUCAUGAACACCAAAAUGAUAAAGUGAAUUCCCAUAAGAGAUUAUAUGCUAUGUAUAAUUACACUCUCAUAGAGUGGAGAUUUUUGGAUCUAGCAUUGUCAAGGAAACCAAGGUUAAUAUGAUCUUAGAGACCUUAUUAGAUUCCCUUAGGUAGUUCAAACUCAACUAUUUUAUGAAUAAGAUGUAGAUGAACUUGUCAGAACCUAUGAGGGAACUCUAAUUGACUAAGGAAAUUCUAAAGGAUUAAAAGGAUAUUCAUAUGGCAAUCAAUCAAAGGUUUUUCAAGUUCUUCUACCAAGAAGAAGAAGAACAAGAGUAGAAGUACCAAAUAGAAGGGAAAGUUCAAGGCUUGGGAAAAGAAGAGCAAAGGAAAGGGCACAUGCUUUGGUUGUGGUAAAAAAAUAAAAAAAUAAAAAAUAAAAAAUAACCAUUGAAAAAAGGAGGAUCCUAAAAUAUAGAACAAAAAACAAGGUAUGCAUCAUAUUCUCAACUAAAUCAUGUUUAGUAAAUUUCACCAAUUUUUGGUAAGAUUUUGAGGUUAAUGACUAUAUUUGUAAUUCUUUAAAAGGGUUUCACAUAAGGAAAAGGUUGAAUGAUGGGAACAUAUAUUUGACUCUAGAUUCUAAUGUAAGGAUAGUUGUGCAAGUAGUGAAAGAUGUUACCCUUCUUUUAAAGAAGAAAUGUCUUUUAUACUCAAAGAUUGUCUUUAUAUUCCUAACUAUAGAAAUAAUUUGAUUUCACUUUCUAGUUUAAAUAAAUGUGUCUCUUUGGUUUCUUUUAAUAAAGAUGUUAUUAUUAGAAAGACUGUUGUAUUGUAAAUAUUGACACUGACAUGAGAAGAAAUAGUGCAUCAUCAACAUUAGCACCAUAUUACAAUUGAGAUCAUGUACAACAAAAAGGUUCAUUACAACUUAAAAAAAGAUCCUAUAAUUAAAGUUGUUUUUUUUUUUUAAUUAUUGAUCAUGAGAAUGAACAUGAGGACAUUUUUAAUGAGAUGUGGAUGUAUCCAUGAUUUUACUUGGUUGGUUAAUAAAACUUUACGGGUCCUUCACAAAUUAAAAGAAUUUAAUUUUUAUUUAUGCCUUAUUUUUCACAAAUGCAUUCCUAAUUGUUUAUAUAAGGGUUUAAAUUUCAUUACUUUUAUUUGAAUAUUAUGAACACACUAGUUAAUUUAUUGGUCAUUUCUAGAAUAGCAUAAUUUACCUGAUGAGCAUAGAAAAGAAGUUAUAAUAUAUGUAUUAUGUGAAUAUCAAUAAUCAUAUUUUGGUGGUUCACUUAUGAUCCCUACUUUUCUCUACUUGUAAGUUGAGGCUAAUAUAUAAGAAUAGCUCAUCCAAUGUGUUUCUAAAUACUCACACUCAAAUGUGAAAUCAAGAUGUUCUCCUUUUGAAUUUGAUUGCUUGUUCUUCAUUUGUCAUUCUCUUUCCCUUUGAGAUUAAAAAAACAAAAGAAUAAAUGGAGUAGCAAAUUAAAAAGAGUGUCAAUUCAACUAGAUAAGAGUCUAAUCAAAAUUGGACAUUUCCUUGUAGCGUCUAACUAGCAUGAAUGAAUAAGGAUGUAUGAGUUGAUCAAUCAAGUUUUGGGCCUUUAAAUAAUCAUAUCAAAUUUUCACUUUCAAUUGCUUGAGAUAUUUCACUUGGAUAUCAAUCAAGCUUGGGGUUAAGAAAUUAAAUUAUGUAAUUUUCUAUAAUAAGCUAGUUUCACAAAAUGUUUAAUGCUUCAAAAGUAAUAACUUAGGAACUAAAGAAUCAAUCCCAACAUCAGCUUUAGUUAACAAAUGCAAUGCCCUAAUUUUAUAUUUUUGCUCAUUUGAAAUACAUAGGAACAAAUACCAACAUGCAUCUUAAAGUAUUCCAAAACAAAAUACUUGAAAUUGAAUUGUUCUUUCCCACCUAAUUUGAUUGCUCGUAGCUUGGAGAUUCUAUCUUUUAAGACCAAGAAUUAUGGAUAGUACAAAAGUGUGAGUUCAAAUUGGCAUGACUUUAAUCAAAAUUUAGAAAUUUGUUUGAAGUAUUUGACUUGCCUUGAUUAAUAUGGAUAACCAUGGUUUAACUGGUGGAGGUCGGGCAUUUGACAUUAUGUAUUUAGCAGCUUGGAAUAUCCCAUCAAAACUUGAUGUGCACUAACUUAUCCAACAAAUUGUUUGAUCUUCAAAAAAAAUUAACAAUGCAAUCAAGCUUAUCCUACAAAUUGUUUGGUCAACAUCAACAAUUCUCUUACUUGAAAUUAGCGUCUUGUACAGCAUAUCCAAUGGACAAAUUUGCAAAGAAGCUCCAGCCACCUGUGCAUAUGGUCCAUUUCAUGGUCUUGGGCAUCAACACCAUUACCAUCAAUAUUCUGCAUUGCGCCAUCACA
rnacentral:lncRNA from 1 species